GGGGUGUGUUGUGUUUAGGCAUUCUGUCGAGUGAAUUAUAUUUAUUUCAGAUUGUUUUGUACGGCGUUCAGAAGUGUCACGUGUGAAGAAACUGCUGUGCGUCUAUCACGGAGGAUUAUCCACGUGAGGACACCAGGACAAAGAAACUAGUAAAAUCAUCCCCAUGCAUCUCUGAGAAUGAAAAGGGCGUCACGAGAGCAAACCUGUGGCUACGGAAAGCGUGUGAGCGGGUCCAUGAUGCCUCGUGCGUGUGACGGCGAUUACCCAGAAACGAAACAGCGUGAUGGAGUGACAGAGAGCGAUGAGGAGCUGUCGACGGGACGCGGGUGAUGGAGAACCUUGCUCGACCCUGUCACCCUGCCACGGCCCAGCCAACGGGGCGCUCCGGUCCUGCUCUCACUGACAGAUCGAUUUAUGCUGGCAGCGGGUCUAAUAAAUGAGUCAAUGCUAUCAUGAAAGCUGAGUAAAAACCCGUGGAAAAUCAAUCAGGGGGGGAUCAACGCCCCGCCCUGGAAAACACCAGUUUGUCGAUAAACUCAGCUGGGGAAGAAAAAAAAGAGAAAGAAACCAUUAAAAACCUGCUGCCCACUGUAAAGAAGGAACAUAAUAACUUAGCUGGAGGCGGGGGCGGGGAAAGUGAGAGAAGUCAUUUAAAACCUGCAUUCCGUUAGUUGAGACAAAACAGCAUUUCUCAAAUAGAGGGAGAAUUAAAGAAAGCACUAAAUUAGCCUGGAUUUUGUUACCAGAAAAAAAAUAUAACAUUCUGCCCCUCAAAUGAACUGGAAAAUGUAAGAAAUCAUAAUAAAGCCAACAUCAUGUAGCAUAGAAGCAACAUUCUGCUUUUCUGCUAUACUGAAGAAAGGGUUUAAAAGUUCAAUGUUGUUUAUAAGAAACUGAUAUUAUCCCUCUUAGCUGGAAUUGAGGGAAGGUGAGAGGAAAUGGGAAGGAAUCAUUGAAAACUCUACCAUGCAACAGUCAACCUUUUAGUUUAGAAAUAAGAAGGAGAAGUCAUGAAAACCCGUGUUGUAUAUUUUUAAGGUACCAACAUUGUGCCUGUAAACCUAAGCAAAGAGAACAUCAUUGCAACAUGGAGAUUCAAAGAGAGAGAUGAAGAAAAUUACAAAAAAUGGAUAAAAAUCAUGAAAACCCGUGUUGUAUAUUUUUAAGGUACCAACAUUGUGCCCGUAAACCUAAGC